rnacentral:ncRNA from 1 species
UUAGUUUUAUUUUUGUUAAAAAAUUUAAUAAAAUAAAAUUUUACAUAUAAUAAUUUUAAUUUAUUUAUAAAGUUUUAAAUAAACUUUUAAGUAUAACUUUAUAUAGUUUUAAAUAGUAGUAAUUAAUAUUAUUAAUUUAAUGAAAGUUAAAUUAUAGUUAUUAUUAUAAAUUAUUGGUAAAAUUUGUGCCAGCAAUCGCGGUUAUACAAAUAAUGAGAUUAAAUUUUUUUUAAUAAAAGUUAGAAUUUAUUUUAUUAAUGUUUAUAUUAAUAAUUUAGAGAUAUAGAUUUAAAUAUAAAUUUUUAAGUGAAAUUUAAAUUUUAUGUAUUUAUUUAUAUAAUUAUUUAAAAUGUUUGAAUCUUUUAAAAUUUAAAUAUAAACUAGGAUUAGAUACCCUAUUAUUUAAAUGGUAUACAAUUUAUAAAAAAUUAAGGUAGUAUUAAUUAAUUUUUUAAAACUUAAAAAAUUUGGCGGUAUUUUAUUCUGUUUAGAGGAAUUUGUUCUGUAAUCGAUAGUCCACGAAUAUUUUACUUUUGUUAGUUAUCAAUUUAUAUAUCGUUGUCAUCAGAAUGUUUUAAAAGAAUUAAAAAUUUUCUAAAUUUUUAAUUUAAAAUAAUGUCAAAUCAAGGUAUAGUUUAUAUAAAAGUAGAAAUGAGUUACAAUAAAAAAAAUUUAUUUUAUGAAUAUUUUAAUUAAAUUUAAAAUUGAAGGUGGAUUUAAAAGUAAAUUAAUUGAUAAAAAUUAAUUGAUUUUAGUUUUAAAAUAUGCACAUAUCGCCCGUCGCUCUCGUUAUUAAUUUUUAUUAAAUGAGAUAAGUCGUAACAUAGUAGGUAUAUCGGAAGAUGUCUCUAGAAAUA